rnacentral:lncRNA from 1 species
UUACCCGCUCGACUUUCUUCUUCUCUGUUCUUGUUUCUUAAGCAUGCUCGUAUUUUCUGCCUUGCUCGAGUUCCUAGUGUAAGGGUUCGACUUGCACUUGGGAAAGGGGUCGAUCUCCCUGAGCCAACUUUUUGGAGUCGAGUUUUUUGAGGUCCCCCUGCCCCUUUGUCGGUUCGACUUGGGGUUGGCCUUUUGGAGUCGACUUCUUGGUCGUUCCAUCCUUGGAUGGGAUUUGGUUUCUCUGGGGUCGACUUCUUUGGACCUUUUUCCUUCUGGGUGGUCGACUUUGGUCGAGUCCUCUGGUCGACUUCCUUUGAAGUGACUUGUGGGUAGGGUCGAUUUUCUGGGCUCGACUUCCUGAAGUUGUCCCGUUGGUGGACCCUUUUCCCGUCGACUUUCUGGAGUCGAUUUUUUUAUUUGGUUGUUUUCUGAGGAUGUUGGACUGAUUUCCUGAUUUUUGCAGAUGUCUUCUGGCAAAGAUAAAAUUCCUCCUACUGAGAAGUCUCGCGUUGAGCGAGCCAAGGAGAGUGCGGGAAACACUGCUCAACAUUCGAUCUCUAUGGCUGAAGGUGGUUCUAUCACCAUUGAUGCUUAUGGGUCGAACCUUCACCCUGAUGGUUUAUCUGCGAAGACGACUGCUGCCGAAGCUACACUUUCUCUGGCGUCUUCGACGAAGUCCAUGCCUCCUCAGAGUAAGUUUCUUUUACUCGAAGAUAUUAGAGAUUUUUUCUAGUGAGUGGGGUUUAUCUUAUAACACUUUCUGGUAGGUUCCCUUGCCUCUCCCUCUAAUGAGGCAGAUGAUGAUGAUUCCGAGGCUUCUUCCUCUGAAUCAGUUCGUGAUCGGGACCCUUCUCAUUCUAGUCGAGCUGAGAGUUCCGAUGAGAGCUGUUCUUCUGAGAGUUCUGAAGGAGAUAUCAGCGUGGGUGGUUCCCCGCCUUUACCUACUCCUACGGAGGUUUUUAUUGGUCGUAGCCCUGUCUCACCCUUGUCCCCGAUUAGGUUGCCCCCUGAGGUUAAUCGGGAAGAUAUAGUUGAGGAUCCCCCGCUUUUCGUUCCAGAAAAGCAUAAGAGAUCGAAGACCCCCUACCCCUUUCCUACUCCUAUCAAUGAAGAUAAGGGAGGUCCUGUUCUUUUCUAUCAUGAAAUUGAUGGGAGUAGGAAGAAGUGGAGUGUGUUUGUCCUCCGCCCCUAUGGUUACCAUCGCGUUCCCUUUCAAUUGAGGGAGCAACCAUACGGGGUGGAGUGUGGUUCUAUUAGGUCUAUUUCCUCUGACAUCACUGCCUAUCCUGAGGUUGUGAAUCUUGUCUCUACCAACACAUUGUCAAAGGCCGCUGCUGUUAAACUCUUGUUAGGUUUGGAAUUGAGAAAGAGGGUUUAUUGGUUGUUACAUGAUGAACUUACGGGUGAUGUGCCACCAUACUAUAUGGUUGCUCUCCCUAAGUAUUACUUUACCAAUUUCCCUAUCCUUCCCAUUCCAUUUUUUAUUAGUGAGAUUUUAAAAUAUGUUGGUGUAUUUAUAUACCAGUUGGGCCCUGGUUUCUUCUUUUAUGCCCAUGGUUUUUUGAAUAUCCUUCGGGACUUAAAUAUCAAACCUACUGCCGGUUUGUUUUUUCACUAUUUUUCCUUUUCUGCUGCGUCUCAUUCUGAGACUAUUAUUUCUUGUUCGAGUCGACCCUCUUCUGCUGGUCAUAGGCCUCUUCUUAGAGACCCUCCUACUAAGAGGAACAAGAACGAGUUCAUUUUUGUUGAUGCUNNNNNNNNNNNNNNNNNNNNNNNNNNNNNNNNNNNNNNNNNNNNNNNNNNNNNNNNNNNNNNNNNNNNNNNNNNNNNNNNNNNNNNNNNNNNNNNNNNNNACCCCAGUUUUGGCCAAGCAUCGUGCCCCAAUCCUCAAGCCGAUUCUUAGUAAUGAGGAAUUUGACAAUGUGAAGCUACUGAGAAACACGUAUCCUCGUGCUAUUUAUGUCUGUAAAGCUAUUGAGGAUCUGUUUACUCGCCGAGGUUGUUUGUGCUUAUUUUCUGUUUGUUUUUACUGUUUGUAUUUCUAACAACGGUUGUCUGUGCAGAAUAUUUAAAAUCCUUUGGUGAUGCAACUGAACGACUCAGUCAGCAGAAACUAGGUUCUAAGGUUUAUCCUGCCUCUAUUAAACCUUCUGAUGCGAGAAAGUUGCGAAAGAUGGCUGCCUCUAAGGAUCCUAAUCCGGAAACCGAGGAUGGAGAGGUUCUGAAGAAUUCUGGGGAUACAACUCAGGUUCCAGUCCAGGGGCUGGAGAUAAUAGAAAGAGAGACCUUCUCACUAUGGGUGCUCUUCCUGUGAAGAGGGCUCGCACUUUUGAGUCAGCCUCAUCUUCUCGCCCCCCUGUGAAGGAAGUUCCAAAACCCUCCUACCAGUCCACCCAAGAGAACCAACUGCCGGGAUACGUAGGUUAUCACCCAACGAAUUAUGGGAGUAAGGACCUUGUUGUCCCUAAUACUGCUGAGAAUCAAGCUGCUUUGAAGAAGAUUUCCAUGUAUAGAAUGGCAACGCUGGUUCAGGAGUUUGCUCAGAACAUUUCAAAUGUAAGUUUAUUAUUUAUUCCUUUCUCCUUUGAUUUUUUCUAAAUCUUUUCCUGCAGCUUGAUCAUCUGUUCAAGGGUGGAUUAGCUCCUCUUGGAAACCUCCGGGACCCUCAUCAGAUACUCGACGAGCUUGCUAUUUUGAAAAAAGAUCUGAAAGCUGCUGAGGCGAAAGUCAAGGACUAUGCUGGAACUAAUACCUGGCUUCAUACUCAGAAUAAUAUACUUUCACGGGAUGUAGCUUCCAAAGAUUCUACCAUCAAGGAGCNNNNNNNNNNNNNNNNNNNNNNNNNNNNNNNNNNNNNNNNNNNNNNNNNNNNNNNNNNNNNNNNNNNNNNNNNNNNNNNNNNNNNNNNNNNNNNNNNNNNGAGCAUGCUGCUGCUUUCGCUGACAAGAUAAGCUCUGAUAAGGAGGCCUCGCUUCAUAAGACCCUUUCCGAAUCUCUUGAGAUAUCUCUGCAGGCUUCCGAUCAAACUAUUCUUCAGCUCCGGGAAGAAGUGAAGAAUUUGAAAGACAACCAGACUUCUGCUGCUGACCUUUUGAUUAAGAACUUGAAGUUGACUGAGGAGCUCUCUACACUCCAGAAAGACCAUGAAGAAAAUGAUGAUCUUCUCCGAGAGACACUUCAGCAGAACAUCGAUCAUUUCAACAAUCUGGUUAUGAUGGGUCCCUAUCUACAUCCUGGGUUUGAUGUCGGAGAUGUUCUAACGUGGGUUGCUACUCACCCGGAGGAAGCUGAAAAGGUUAGACAGGGAAUUACUGAGUCUACUGCUGAAGAUCAACCUCCUCUAGAGGUUGAACUUGUCACUACUACCCCCAUGCUAUUGCUUGGAGCCGCCUCUGAAGUUAUUGUUCCUACUGAAACAGAGUUGGAUUCUGUGACCAAGUUCUUGGAUGCUGUUCAUGAUCCUGCUGGUUCUGAGAAGGAUGCUCCUCCUGCGUCCUAAAUACUCUUAUUAUUUUUCUUUUUUAACAUUCACGUAUAGUUUUGAUACUUUUGUAUUAUUAACAUUAGUUCUGAUUUUGCAAGAUAACUUCUAUUACUUAGAAAGUAGUUUUACAACUAUUAAUUGUAUAUUGCUUAAUUUUGCACAUUUCUCUUUAAUAGUACAAUUGUAAGUUGUCAGCAUGCUAAGUGUUGGGAAUGUAACUCCCGUCAUCUCUCUUUAGUCUGUAUGUUCCUGGACGGAGUUCUUCUCCCACUAUGUAGGGUCCUUCCCAGUUGGCUCCUAGCUUGCCUUUUGAGCAAUCCUUUCUGAUUAUGCUUGCCUUCCUUAGGACUAGGCUCCCUUUCCUUAUGUUCUUGGGCUUUACAUUCUUGUCGUGAUAUUUGGCGACAUUCUAUUUAUAGGCGGCAUUCUUAACUUGGGCAUUAUCUCGUAAUUCAUCCACCAGAUCAAGGUUUGUAGCACACGAUUUCCUAUUUUCUUCUGUGUCGUAUGUUAAGACCCUGAUCGUGGGAGAUGCUUAGUUAUAUUGGGAUUAACGCCUCCAUUCCGUAUGUUAGAUUGAAUGGGGUUUCGCCGGUCGGUGUCUUCUCCGUGGUUCGAUAGGCCCACAGAAUCUCUAGGAGUAGGUCAGCCUAUGUGUUCUUGGCCUGUUCGACUUUCUUUUUUAGUCCUUGAACGAUUGCCCUGUUUGUGACCUCUACUUUCCCAUUUCCUUGUGAUCGAUACACUAAUGAGAAGUGCACCUUUGUGCCCAUGUUGUCGCAUAGCCUUGUGAAUUCUCCGUCUGUAAACUGUGUCCCGUUAUCCGUGACUAUGUGGAGUGGCGUGCCGAAUCUGCACAUUAUGCAUCAGAACACGAAUUUGGCUAUUGCGCCCUGAGUUAUUUUGGGUACUGCUAAUGCUUCUACCCACUUGGUGAAAUAGUCCACUGCGACGAAUAUGAACUUGGUCUGGCCUGUGGACGGUGGGAAAGGUCCUACGAUAUCUAGACCCCACAUUGCAAAUGGGAUGGGGUUACUGAUCCCUGUUAGUGGUGUGGCGGGAUUUCUCUGGAUGUUUCUGUGUACCUGACAUACUCUGCAUUUUCGUGCGAACUGGAUCACAUCUUUCUUUAGACUUGGCCAAAAGUACCCUCGUCGCAGUAUCCUCUGGGCCAGGGAUCUUCCUCCUUGAUGGAUUCCACACGUUCCCUGGUGGAUUUCUUCGACUAUGAAUUGACCCUCUUCUUUAGAGAUGCAUUUCAUUAAUGACCCAUCGUAUGAUUUUUUAUAUAGAAUGUCCCCUAUUUUGAAGAACCUCGGGAUGCGUGUUUGCAGCUUCCGCCGUUCAUUCUUAUCCUUUGGCACUUCUUUGGCACUUCUUUGGCACUUCUUGGCCUUCUUCUUUAGUUUUUCUUCUUCUUUUUAUUUGAAACUGGAUUUUCCAUUGUAACAGGUGUUUUCUUCUUCUUGGGUUUUCUUUUUCUUUAUAUUGAUUUUACCAUUUUCCAGUUUAAUCUCAUCUGUUUAUUUGGUUUACAUUCCUUUGAUUUCGGUGCGUUAUUAGGUCUAACAGCUAUUUGUUUUAAACAGGAAUGACAUUUCGGUAGCCCAGUUUUUCUUCAUCUUCGUCGAUUUGGAAAAAUAACUUACAAAUCUUCGGCGUUGGGUAUAAUCUAGAUUUGGAUAGAAUUUUUCAAGCAGUUCCAUGCGAUUCUUUUUUAACUGAAUCUUUUGAGGUAGUUUGAAUCAAGCAGAUUUAUUCUAUCUGAAUCAGGAUAGAUUUAUUCAGUUUGAAAGCUGAAUCAAGCAACUCACGAUUGACUUUCAAUUUA